UGACUCCAAAAUCUUUGGCUGGUACUUAUUGACAGAUACUCUAUAUUUGUCUCUAACAUAAGGGGAAAUUAAGCCUCCUUGGCAAGUUCACAUAACAUGUGCGGCACCAAGAUGACAAUAUGAAAAGAUGUAGAGUAGAGA